GCUGACGAGUGGCGGACGGGUGAGUAAUGUCUGGGAAACUGCCUGAUGGAGGGGGAUAACUACUGGAAACGGUGGCUAAUACCGCAUAACGUCGCAAGACCAAAGAGGGGGACCUUCGGGCCUCUUGCCAUCAGAUGUGCCCAGAUGGGAUUAGCUAGUUGGUGAGGUAACGGCUCACCAAGGCGACGAUCCCUAGCUGGUCUGAGAGGAUGACCAGCCACACUGGAACUGAGACACGGUCCAGACUCCUACGGGAGGCAGCAGUGGGGAAUAUUGCACAAUGGGCGCAAGCCUGAUGCAGCCAUGCCGCGUGUAUGAAGAAGGCCUUCGGGUUGUAAAGUACUUUCAGCGGGGAGGAAGGUGUUGUGGUUAAUAACCGCAGCAAUUGACGUUACCCGCAGAAGAAGCACCGGCUAACUCCGUGCCAGCAGCCGCGGUAAUACGGAGGGUGCAAGCGUUAAUCGGAAUUACUGGGCGUAAAGCGCACGCAGGCGGUCUGUCAAGUCGGAUGUGAAAUCCCCGGGCUCAACCUGGGAACUGCAUUCGAAACUGGCAGGCUUGAGUCUUGUAGAGGGGGGUAGAAUUCCAGGUGUAGCGGUGAAAUGCGUAGAGAUCUGGAGGAAUACCGGUGGCGAAGGCGGCCCCCUGGACAAAGACUGACGCUCAGGUGCGAAAGCGUGGGGAGCAAACAGGAUUAGAUACCCUGGUAGUCCACGCCGUAAACGAUGUCUACUUGGAGGUUGUGCCCUUGAGGCGUGGCUUCCGGAGCUAACGCGUUAAGUAGACCGCCUGGGGAGUACGGCCGCAAGGUUAAAACUCAAAUGAAUUGACGGGGGCCCGCACAAGCGGUGGAGCAUGUGGUUUAAUUCGAUGCAACGCGAAGAACCUUACCUGGUCUUGACAUCCACAGAAGAAUCCAGAGAUGGAUUUGUGCCUUCGGGAACUGUGAGACAGGUGCUGCAUGGCUGUCGUCAGCUCGUGUUGUGAAAUGUUGGGUUAAGUCCCGCAACGAGCGCAACCCUUAUCCUUUGUUGCCAGCGGUCCGGCCGGGAACUCAAAGGAGACUGCCAGUGAUAAACUGGAGGAAGGUGGGGAUGACGUCAAGUCAUCAUGGCCCUUACGACCAGGGCUACACACGUGCUACAAUGGCGCAUACAAAGAGAAGCGACCUCGCGAGAGCAAGCGGACCUCAUAAAGUGCGUCGUAGUCCGGAUUGGAGUCUGCAACUCGACUCCAUGAAGUCGGAAUCGCUAGUAAUCGUGGAUCAGAAUGCCACGGUGAAUACGUUCCCGGGCCUUGUACACACCGCCCGUCACACCAUGGGAGUGGGUUGCAAAAGAAGUAGGUAGCUUAACCUUCGGGAGGGCGCUUACCACUUUGUGAUUCAUGACUGGGGUGAAGUCGUAACAAGGUAACCGUAGGGGAACCUGCGGUUGGAUCACCUCCUUACCUUAAAGAAGC
rnacentral:rRNA from 1 species